UGGGACUCUGCUGCGGGCCGCCCUGGGUUUGGAGGACUGAGGCGCAGAAAGGGUUAUUUACUGCUAUCCCCGCCGUCUAAGUGCCUGCACUUGUCAAUUGUGACUGGACGCUGCAGUCCGCCGAGGGUGGCUCUUUUCCCACAGUGGUGAUAGUUUUGUGGCCAAUGGGCCAAAUGUGGAAUCAGCCUGCUUUCAGAUCUCAGCUCUACCAUUUAUUUGAACUAUACCUUUGUGAUGUCUCAUGGAAUCCAGACUUUCAGGAGCCACGGAGGCUGGAUGAACCCCCAAAACU